CCUAAAAGGAGCAAGGAUUCAAAGGGACACGCUUAGAGGAACGAUGAGGGGGAAAAGAAGAGAGGGAAAUUGUUGCUAGGAGGUAUAAACAACCUCUUACUGCUCUGCAAGCGGCAGCAACUUUUAAAUGAACAUAUGUUCCUUUAUCAAAUGAACCAAAAGUGCUUUCAGGACACUGGCCAGGGCACAAUUGCUGCCACUGCUUUAGCAUUGCCAAUGUGAAGAAGGCAUCAGCCAUGUCUGACCUUUGCUAAACACUGAGAGCAGCUAUGCUCCCCACUUCCACCUCCCCCUCCACUCCUCUGUCACAUGUGACAAACUGCUUCAAUGCAUUUUGGGGCCAUGUAAUCUUGCAAGCCACCUCCCAGCUUCCAGGAACACAAUUUGCCGUUAUAUUAUCUGGGAACCAAAGGCCAGAGCAAAUAAGAUGCAUUUCCUCUAUCUGAUAACCACCCUGCUACUGGCCUUUUUAACCUGAAAAUAUUAUUCAGCUGAAGUGACCACAGCUGGAGCAAGCAAAAUUGUCACAAAUAUGCACAGAAAGGAGGUAAAUAGAGGCUGAUACUGGCUGGCACAUUACAGGAACCUGGAGACUGCUCAGCGGAGAAAGAGGCCAAAGUAAGCACAGAGGAUUGACUCUUGCUUGAUCCACUAAGCUCCCUCCCAGAAAGGCACAUAUAUUUUUAAACAACAGUGACAGAAGCCAAAAGCCACUGCAAGAGCCUGCAUUUCCUGCAGUGGCAGAAGGUCCUACUGCAGCCAUUGGACAGCCUCAUUCAGAUGCAGCCUCCCCAGUGAAUACCCGUGUCCAAACAACCUGAAAGACCAGAAUCCUGAGGCGAGAAAAACCCCGUCAUCACUGGAUGCCUGCAGAGUUGCAGAGGCCUCACUUUUGUGCCCAGGCUGUUUGUGGUGCAAGAUACGCCUGUCUGUGGACACCGUGCUCUGCAUACAGAAGAUAAAUAGAUGACACUCCUGCACUAGCCAGAGCUCAGGGACCAGCUUGAACGCAGGACAGCACACUCGCAGUGCUGGAGAACUCUUUCCUGCAGAUAUCGCUGCCAUACCCUCUGCUCCUCUGCACGCUGAAGCUAAAGGUGAUGCUUGCACCGUGCUCAACACAUAAGCUUGACAACAUGCUGUCCAAAUCUGGUCCCAACGAUGCUGAUGAACAUAGCACUGAGGGAGAAAGACAGAAGCCAGUGGGACCGCAGGAGAGAGGAACUCAGCAAAGAGAUAAACCUGAGCUUUGUCUGUGCAACCACAGUGAGGAACACGAGGAAUGCCCUACACAGCCCACUGGCCAUGGGCAGCACAGUGUGAAGAACUGCAUGCAAAAGGACCAGGCAUCAGUAACAUUGACUUCCACCAGACCAGCUUGGACUUGUAUCUACAUUUAUAGG